rnacentral:tRNA from 1 species
GGGGCUGUAGCUCAGAGGCAGAGCGCUCACCUGGCAUGCCAGGUGUGAGUCAUUGGGUUCGAUCCUCAGCACCA